UCACCAGUGACCUUAAGCUUCAGCUUGGCCUCAGAACAAGAGGAUAGUACUGUAAAACAAGAGAAAGCUCCAAGGGCCUCUACAUAUUGCCAGCCCAUAUUUGGCCUUACCAAUUCAUGGACAGCUCCAGCUGAAUUUCUCUUACCAGUGUCAAGCUUUGCCUGUUCCAGUUUCUGCCCAUGGACAUGCUAUACUCAUUGUGUUGCUGCUGCUGCUGCUGCUAAGUCACAUCAGCCCUGUCCAACUCUGUGCGACGCCAGAGAUGGCAGCCCACCAGGCUCCCCUGUCCCUAGGAUUCUCCAGGCAAGACCACUGGAGUGGGUUGCCAUUUCCUUCUCCAAUGCAUGAAAGUGAAAAGUGAAAGUGAAGUCACUCAGUAGUGUCCGACUCUCAGCGACCUCAUGGACUGCAGCCCACCAGGCUCCUUCAUCCAUGGGAUUUUCCAAGCAAGAGUACUGGAGUGGGUUGCCAUUGCCUUCUCCACUCAUUGUGUUACUCAUAGGUUAUUUUGGGUUUUCUGUGUGAAAACACUCCAGGGGGCUGUCAAAAGUAAUACUCGGCCUCUAAUGUCUAUUCCAAUUUAUAAAUAUCCUAUGGUCAAAUUGACACUAUAUGUCUGACUCUGCAUUUCCUUCUCCAGGACCUUGGUCUAAUAAUUUUUCACAACAUUACUACCUCUCUGAUGCCUUUAAGGAGACACUUUCAUACCUUGCCCAUAUUUUCUGACUAUCCUCAGCAGGAAGGCUUGUCUGAAUUUCUUUGCAACCAAUA
ensembl:lncRNA